rnacentral:rRNA from 1 species
UACGUAGGGUGCGAGCGUUGUCCGGAAUUAUUGGGCGUAAAGGGCUCGUAGGCGGUUUGUCGCGUCGGGAGUGAAAACUCAGGGCUUAACCCUGAGCCUGCUUCCGAUACGGGCAGACUAGAGGUAUGCAGGGGAGAACGGAAUUCCUGGUGUAGGCGGUGGAAAUGCGCAGAUAUCAGGAGGAACACCGGUGGCGAAGGCGGUUCUCUGGGACGGUACUGACGCUGAGACGCGAAAGCGUGGGGAGCGAACAGG